rnacentral:rRNA from 1 species
GGUUUGAUCCCUGGCCCAGAUUGAACGCUGGCGGAUGCUUUACACAUGCAAGUCGAACGGCAGCACGGACUUCGGUCUGGUGGCGAGUGGCGAACGGGUGAGUAAUAUCGGAACGUGCCUUAAGGGGAUAACUACGCGAAAGUUGCAGCUACUACUGCAUACGCCCUUCGGGGGAAAGUGGGGACCUUCAAACUGCACUAGAGCGCAAGCCGAUAUCGGAUUAGCUAGUUGGUGGGGCAACGGCUCACCAAGGCGACGAUCCGUAGCUGGUUUGAGAGGACGACCAGCCACACUGGGACUGAGACACGGCCCAGACUACGGAGGCAAGGUAGUGGGGAAUUUUGGACAAUGGGGGAAACCCUGAUCCAGCCAUCUCCGCGUGUGCGAUGAAGGCUUUGUUGUAGCACUUUUGGCAGGAAAGAAACGGCACGGGAUAAUACCCGUGCAACUGACGGUACCUGCAGAUAAGUGGCUCCACAACUACGCGCCAGCACAUGGUAAUACGUAGGGAAAAAGCGUUAAUCGGAAUUACUGGGCGUAAAGCGUGGCGCAGGCGGUUCGGCAAGAAAGAUGAAAUCCCAGAGCUUAACUUCUUGGAACUGCAUUUUUAACUACCGAGCUAGAGUGGUCAGAGGGAGUGUGGAAUUCCCGCGUGUAGCAGUGAAAUGCGUAGAUAGGCGGAGGGACACCGAUGGCGAAGUGCAGCCUCCGGGAUAACACUGACGCCGCACGAAAGCGUGGGGAGCAAACAGGAUUAGAUACCCUUGGUAGUCCACGCCCAAACGAUGUCAACUAGCUGUUGGGGCCUUCGCCAGCGCAGCUAACGCGUGAAGUUGACCGCCUCGGGGAGUACGGUCGCAAGAGGAUUAAAUCAAAGGAAUUGACGGGGACCCGCACAAGCGGUGGAUGACGUGGGAUUAAUCUGAUGCAACGAAAAACCUUACCUACUCCUUGACAUGUCUGGAAUCCCGAAGAUUUCGGAGUGUCGCAAGAGAACCGGAACACAGGUGCUGCAUGGCUGUCGUCAGCUCGUGUCGUGAGAUGUUGGGUUAAGUCCCGCAACGAGCGCAACUCCCUUGUCAUUAGUUGCUACGAAAGGGCACUCUCUGACGAGACUUGCCGGUGACAAAACCGGGAGGAAGGUGGGGAUGACGUCAAGUCCUCAUGGCCCUUAUGGGUAGGGCUUCACACGUCAUUAGCGGCGCAACAGACGGGACAGGUGGUCGCCAACCCGCGAGGGGGAGCCAAUCCCAGAAACCCGAUCAGUCCGGAUCGCAGGUUCGCAACUGACCGCGUGAAGUCGGAAUCGCCAGUGAACUUCCGGUGAUCAGCAUGUCGCGGUGAAUAUUCCUGGCCUUGUACACACCGCCCGUCACACCAUGGGAGUGGGUUUUGACGGUAAUAGUUAGCCUAACCGUAAGGAGGGCGCAUUUACCACGGUAGGAUUCAUGACUGGGGUGAAGUCGUAAUACAGCG